GCUGCAUUAGCUCAGUGGCAGAGCAACUGCCUUGUAAGUAGUAGGUCGUCAGUUCAAAUCCGACAUGCAGCACCA
rnacentral:tRNA from 1 species